AUUGAACGCUGGCGGUAUGCUUAACACAUGCAAGACGAACGAUGAGAAAGAGCUUGCUCUUUCGAUUAGUGGCGGACGGGUGCGUAACGCGUAGGAAUCUACCUAUUAGUGGGGGACAACUUAGGGAAACUUAAGCUAAUACCGCAUACGCCCUACGGGGGAAAGAAGGGGAUCGCAAGACCUUUUGCUAAUAGAUGAGCCUGCGUAGGAUUAGCUAGUUGGUGGGGUAAAAGCUCACCAAGGCGACGAUCCUUAACUGGUUUGAGAGAAUGAUCAGUCACACUGGAACUAAGACACGGUCCAGACUCCUACGGGAGGCAGCAGUGGGGAAUAUUGGACAAUGGGCGAAAGCCUGAUCCAGCAAUACCGCGUGUGUGAAGAAGGCCUUAGGGUUGUAAAGCACUUUCAAUUGGAAGGAAAACCUCGAAGCUAAUACCUUCGAGUUUGACAUUACCUUUAGAAGAAGCACCGGCUAACUCCGUGCCAGCCGCCGCAGUAAGAC
rnacentral:rRNA from 1 species